CUUCGUGACGUUCUUCUGAAAGUCACUCGAUUAAUCUGAUCGACGAUAGUAGAGAGAAUAAGCUUAGGAUAAUUUGAUUAUGUUGAAUUUUUUGAAAAAAGAAUGAUUUUUAAUGGAAUAAUAUUAUCUAGGUGGUAAUAGGAUAAAUAUGUGGUAAUAAAGAGGUCAAAGUGAAAUUCGACGUUGAAAAUCGAAAAAAUUCACGUUUACGCUAAUUAAAUUAUUUUCAAUGAUAUAUAUACAUAUAUCUCUCGCGAUAUCGCGAUAAAUUCUCUUACGAAUCUUGUUCUUUACAUUUGGUAUUAUAAUUACUUGAGGUAUUAUCGAGAUACAAUCAACGUCGAAAUUCUAUUGAAAAAAGGAUUCGAGAUCGAAGUAUAAUAAAUAAAUGUACAUAAUACAUAAAUGUAUUACACACACACACACACGCGCGCGCGCGCAAUUCUUUUUUUUUUCUUUUUUUAUGUGAAUAAAUAUUUCGUGUUUUUAUUUCAUGAAGACGUCCUUCCAUGUUAGUUACAAUAUUUACUUCGUUUUGCUUUUGUUUCGCCUAUCUUCUUAUCAUUUCUUCGCACUUGUAGUAGACUUCUUUCGUGUGAUACAUCGCGCGACUUUUGUACAUUACGAUGCAGAUCGGAUCUAGAUUUGGUGUUCCUUUUUUUUGCUUUUUGUUUAUCCUUUUUAAAGCUAUCAUUAUAACACAUAGAUUAUGUACGCACAUAAAAUAUAGUGAUGCUGGAAAUCUUUAGGGAUCCUGAUCAAAUACAAGGCGCCGUACACGAUUACGCUAAUGCUUUUUUCGCGUGUUACCUCGGUGGACAGAUUCACUUUAAUAAAUUAGGAUCAAUUACAAAAAAUAGUUGUAACGAACUGUGCAACGAAGAAGAUUAGAAAAAUGACAUUUAUCACAUCGACAUAGAAUGUGAAAUGGACUAAAUAUAAGAUCGACAUCGUUUCUUCUUUCAUUUGUUUUCUUCACUUUGUGCGUAAAUUGAAUGAAUAAUCAUCAACUUGAAAAUGCGGAAGCUCCGCAUAAGCAAAAGGAACAUUUUGUGUAACGCAAAGAACUACCACCGCGAGCGGAAAUGUUUUGCCGAUUAUUUACAACGAAACUGUUCAUGAUCACAAUGAGUUUUAAGGGAAAUAAAAAUAAAAUAACGGUAUUCUAUUAUAUAAGUCGUGAAUGAGCUUAUACAAAACAUAUUGUACGUAGCUUAUUAAUUCGGACCGAUCUUAUAUAUCACUAGAGGCAGUGGUCUCGUAUAUAUCAUAAAUCGUAAAGACAAAAUUUCGUAUUAGAAAGCCAGUAAAGUCACGACUGAAAUUUGUUACAUAUUUUAUCGGAAAAGAAACUAUAGCAAAAACGUGUUUUGAAUAUCACACGUUUAGUAUAUAUACAUAUAUAUGUAUAUAUCUAUGCACAAUAUAUAUACAUACGUUUGCACGGGCACACUGGACUAGGUCCUAAGCACAAGGUAAAAUAUCUAUGUAAGAAUAAAUUUAUGUCCGAAAGUUGAAAAAGUUACGCUUACAACUUGUAAUACGUCGUCGGAAUCUUUGAAUGAGAAGAAAAGA